rnacentral:rRNA from 1 species
AUGUAAAUGCCUACAACAUAAUGUUAAUGCAUCAAAUCCCAUUAGAACUCCAUAGUUAAGCGUGCUCAUACUAGAGUAGUACAAGGAUGCAUGACCCCCUGGGGAGUCCUAGUGUCUUACAUG